rnacentral:rRNA from 1 species
UACGUAGGUGGCGAGCGUUAUCCGGAAUGAUUGGGCGUAAAGGGUGCGUAGGCGGUCCGUUAAGUCAGCGGUAAAAUUGCGGGGCUCAACCCCGUACUGCCGUUGAAACUGCAUCCCUUGAGUGCGCGAGAAGUAUGCGGAAUGCGUGGUGUAGCGGUGAAAUGCAUAGAUAUCACGCAGAACUCCGAUUGCGAAGGCAGCCUGCCGGCCCCACACUGACGCUGAGGCACGAAAGCGUGGGUAUCGAACAGG